AUCCGAUCCCAUUCCCAUCCAGAGACGAAAACUUUAUUUUCUCUCCAUUGAUGAUAAUCUCUGCUCAAACUAAAAUUCCAUCUUACUUCUAAAAGUUUGAUCUUUUUCCAGGUCUCCGUGCUGGCCCCGAACGUGCCGGCCAUGUACGAGAUGCACUUCGGCGUCCCGAUGAGCGGCGCCGUCCUCAACACCAUCAACCUCCGCCUCGACGCCCGCACCAUCUCCGUCCUCCUCCGCCACAGCGGCUCCAAGCUCAUCUUCGUCGAUCCCCUGUCCCUUCCCCUGCUCCACGACGCGCUCCACCUCCUCCCCCACUCCCACCAACCCCCCCGGGUGGUCCCCAUCGAGGACCCCUACGAAGAGAACGCCAAUAGCUCAGUACUUUCCGCCGCCGGCGGUGGCCUCACCUAUGAGAAAUUGAUCGAGAUGGGCGACCCGGAGUUCAAGUGGGUCCGCCCCAAGAGCGACUGGGACCCCAUGGUCCUCAACUACACGUCCGGCACCACCUCCGCCCCUAAAGGCGUCGUCCACUGCCAUCGCGGCCUCUACAUCGUCACCGUCGACUCCCUCAUCGACUGGUCCAUCCCCAAGCGCCCGGUCUAUCUCUGGACCCUCCCCAUGUUCCACGCCAACGGCUGGAGCUACCCCUGGGGCAUCGCCGCGGCCGGCGGCACCAACGUCUGCCUCCGCCGCUUCGACGCCGCCACCAUCUACGCCGCCCUCGCCACCCACCGCGUGACCCACAUGUGCGGCGCCCCCGUGGUCCUCAACAUGCUCGCCAACGCCCCGGACUCCACCCGCAAGCCCCUACCCGGCACGGUCCAGAUCCUCACCGGGGGCUCUCCACCACCAGCGGCGGUGCUCCACCGAGUGGAGGCACUCGGCUUCUCUGUUGGCCACGGGUACGGGCUGACCGAGACAGGAGGAAUGGCGCUGUCCUGCACGUGGAAGGCGGAGUGGGACCGGCUGCCCGCGGCGGAGCGGGCCAGACUCAAAUCGCGACAAGGGGUUCGAACUUUGGCCAUGACGGAUAUCGACGUCAUCGACAGAGCCACCGGCCAGAGCGUCAAGCGAGACGGUGCCACCAUGGGAGAGAUAGUCCUCCGCGGCGGGUAUGUGAUGCUCGGUUACUUAAAAGACGAAGACGGGACUAGCCGGGCGGUGCGGCCGGACGGCUGGUUCUACACCGGCGACGUGGGCGUUAUGCAUGCGGACGGGUACGUGGAGAUCAAGGACCGGUCCAAGGACGUGAUCAUAAGCGGCGGCGAGAAUGUGAGCUCGGUGGAGGUGGAGUCGGUGCUGUAUGGCCACCCGGCGGUGAACGAGGUGGCGGUGGUGGCGCGUCCGGACGACUACUGGGGGGAGACCACCUGCGCGUUUGUUAGCAUGAAGGAAGGGGUGGCGGCGCCGCCGACGGAGGCGGAAGUGAUUGCAUGGUGCCGAGAGAGGAUGCCUCACUACAUGGCGCCGAAGACGGUGGUGCUCAAGCCGGAACUUCCCAAGACAUCAACGGGGAAGGUUCAGAAGUAUCUUCUGAGGGAGAUGGCCAAGGCGAUGGGAUCCCCUCGGCCGAGUCGGAUGUAGGGAAUCGGUAAGACGGACGAGUUGAGGUUGGUAGGAGGUUUGUGUGUUACUUUAUUUUUUUAUUUGGAUUUGGUGGACGCGUCUAUGGUGUGGGGCCGCGAAAGUAUGAUGCUUGCAUCUUAAAGAAAGCUUCCCUGGUGUUGUAAGCGAAAAUGAUGUCAACACGCAAUAGUCUUAAGGUUUUUCACCAAAUAUGUUACCAAUAAAUCUAUGCUGAGUAAUUUGGUUUGUCUUACCAGUGGCUACGAUUUAGUAAUAAAUCUCAGUUGUCGAGUUUCUUAAUGUUUAAAUAAUCUUAGUUAUGCCAUGGGGAAUUUUUUGAGCAAUGGCAAAAUGCUUUUGUAUCUCGGAAAUGUAACUACUCAAAAAAGUCAAGAGGCCAAGGAGCUUGUGUACAGCAUUUUCACUGCUCUCCUUGACGUGGCAUAUUGAAAUGUGCUGCAAAAUAAAGAAAGUGAAUGGUGCAACUCAACGGACGAGAGAAGCUCCACCAAACUUCAAAAUGGUGCAAAAAUCUUUUCCACCCUAUCAAGUGAAGGUUACAGCAAGCCCCGACCAAGCAACGCCCCCGUCGUCCUCAACAUGCUCGCCAACGCCCCGGACUCUGCCCGCAAGCCCCUACCGGCACGUCUCAGAUUCUCACAGCCGGCGCUUCGCCCCCAGCGGCGGUGCUCCGAUCCACAGAGUGGAGGCGCUCGGCUUCUCUGUCAGCCACGGGUACGGGCUCGCCGAGACAGGCGGGAUGGCGUUGUCGUGCGCGUGGAAGGCGGAGUGGAACCGGCUGCCGGUGGUGGAGCGGGCCAGACUCAAGGCGCGCCAAGGUAUUCGAACUUUGGCCAUCACGGAUAUCAACGUCAUCGAUGGCUCCACCGGCGAGAGCGUCCAUCGGGAUGGCGCCACCAUGGGCGAGAUAGUCCUCCGUGGGGUGUGCGUGAUGCUCGGCUAUCUAAAAGACGAGGAGGCGACGAGCCAGGCGGUGCGGCCGGACGGAUGAUUCUACACCGGGGACGUGGGGGUCAUCCAUGCAGACGGGUACGUGGAGAUCAAGGACAGAUCGAAGGACGUGAUCAUAAGUGGCGGCGAGAAUUUGAGCUCGGUGGAGGUGGAGUCGGUGCUAGCUGUAUGACCACCCGGCGGUGAACGAGGCGGCAGUGGUUGCGCGGCCGGACGAAUACUGGGGGGAAACGCCAUGCGCGUUUGUGAGCAUAAAGGAAGGAGUACUGGCGGUGCCACCGAUGGAGGCGGAGGUGAUUGGUUGGUGGCGGGAGAGGAUGCCGCACCACAUGGUGCCCAAGUCGGUGGUGUUCAAGCCGGAAUCACCGUAGACGUCGACUGGGAAGGUUCAGAAGUAUGUGCUGCGGGAGAUAAGAAAAAAUAUUCGUUAUUCCCGACUUCUCGUUGGUUUGUUGCAAAUAUAGCGUGGUAUCAUCGCUGCAACGAAUAUUUUCUUGGGAGAUGAAAAAAUUUUCUAUAAUCGAGACGAUCGUAGAAAAAAUAAUGAUCGGAUCAUCGUCAUUUAUCACAUACAUAUAUUAAGAUAUUUAUAAAAAAAAUAAUUAUGUAACAUUUAGAUGAUUCAAAUAUUAUUAAAAUUUAUCUAUUUUUUUUAAUAUCUUCACGUAUGCUUACUAUCCAUUUUUUUUGAUGAAUAUUUUUAAAAUAUAUUCGAUCGUAAUUUUUUUCGUGAUCGAUCCGAUUAUAAAAAUUUUUAUCCGAGAGAGAUGAUCAGAGUCACGAGGUCUUCUCCCCCAAAUCAUAUUUAAGAUGUCCCUUGGGAUAAGAAAUUAUUAGAUAAGCCAUCCUGCUGUGGACAAAAUCAAUAAAAAUUAAUAUAUUAAUUAAUUUUUUAUUAAUUAUUAAUUAUAUUUUAUAAAAUAAAAAAGAAUCAAUUAAAAUUUAUUUUAUCUAUGAUAGAAUAAAUCUAUCUAAUAAUUUUUUUAAUUGGAUGGCGAGCUGGAGCAUGAGAUUGAAAAAAUUAUUAGGUUGAAUUAAUGGGUCUACCACGUAAGGUCAUAGGCAAAGGUAAUGAGAGCUCAACGAGUCAGCUAUAGGUAACCAUGGUUAUUGGUUAAUCAUGAUUUAAUAGGAAAAAGAUGGCUGACGUGGAAAGUUAUUGGCUACAGGAAAAAUAUUGGCUUAGUGGGAAAGUAAAAAGACAUCUGACGUGGGAAUGUUGAGUAUGGAAAAAAUAUUGGCGCGGUGGGAAAGUAAAAAGACUCCUCCUCUAUUCUCUCUCCGUAAAAAAUGGCUUAGUAGGAGGUUGAUCGAACUUUCUGCAAUCUUUCCUAUUUCCGUUCGUCUCAUCUCUAAUGCCGUUGUUCGAUUGCAUACUAUCAUCCGGAUGCGGCGUAGGCGAUGACGGACGAGGAGGGAACACAAGCAAAAUUUAUUCUUUAAUAUUAUUUUUUUAUUUCAAUUAUUAAUAUUUUUAUAUAAAUAAAUAUAAUGUUAUAAUUUUGUCAUUUUAGAACAAAAUUAACAGUUACUUUCAAUGUUUAAUUUAUUUUAAAUUUUUGAAUAGAUGACUAUGUAAACAUCUAACAUGACUUUUUCAAAUUUUAUUUUUCUUGAGGAUCCAAGGGCCUAUUCUUUUAUAGAUAAAAAAUUUAUUUAAAAAUCUAUAUUUUUUCAAAUAAAUUUUUCUUAGACAAUAUUUAGAUAAGAAAAUAAUUUAUUCAUAUUUUUAAGUAUAAAAAAAUAAUUUUAAAAUCUAUUACUCAUGUUCUUUUGCAUUACUAUUUUCUUGGAUAAGUUACUAAAAUUUAUCUAUAUUUUUCAUAAUAUCUUUUAUACUUUUUAGAUUUAAAAAAAUUAGAUAUCAUUGAGUUAUUGGGCAUUAAAUAAUGGAGACAUUGAAAUUGCGAAUGGGGCAUCUUGAACAUAAAAUUAAAUAGCUACUUUAUCAGCUCAUAAAAAAAUAAUUUAUUUACCUCCUAGAUGGAUAAGAUUUUUUCUCUAUUUUAUUGAUAAAUACUGUCCAUAAAAAAUAAUUUACUCAUCUUAAAAAAAGCAAGAAUAUGGAUAAGUUGGUUAAUAAAAAGAUUAACCAACUUUUUUAUAAUAUUUAUCCAAAAACUUUUGUAGGAAAAAAAUUUAUCUAAAAAUCUAUAUUUUUCUAAAUAAAUAUUUCUUAGCCAAGAUUUAAACAGAAAAAUAAUUGAUUCAUGCUCUUUUAUGCAUGAAAAAACCGUUUCAAAAUAUGUUACUAAUAUUCUUUUAUAUUAUUAUUUUUCUGAAUAAGUUAUCAAAAUUUAUCUAUAUUUUUUAUAAUAUUUUUUAUAUAUUUUAAAUUUAAAGAAAAUGAAUCACUAAAUUAUUGGAUAUUGAAUAAAUAAGAUAUUAAAAAUAAAGAUGAGAUGUUUUAAAAAUAAAACUAAAUAUCUAUUUUAUUGAUUAAUAAAAAAUAAUUUAACUAUUUUUUAGAUGAAUAAUUUUUUUAUUUUAUAAAUAAGUAUUAUUUAUAAAAAUAUUUUUUAAAAAAUAUAUAAAAAUAAUUAAUUAAUUAAUUUUUUUAUGAUAUUUAUUCGUGGAAGAACAGAACUCGGAAGACAAUCAGCCGACAGGAGAGUCGCAAAUGCGGCAGGGUAUCUAAAGGAGGCUAGAGAGGUGAAAGUACGGAUGCGGGGAGUUUUCUGCUCACGUAACUGGCUUUAAAGUAGCAUACGGUCAUCUCGCCUUUCCAGAGAGAUUAUUGGGUAGCCAAUCUUUUCCCUAUUAAAUCAUGAUUGACUAUGAUUACGUAUUUAGUAGAAACUAGCUGACGUGUUGAGCUACCACUGUCUUUCCCAAUAAUUCUACGUGGUAGACUCAUUCUACCCAAUAAUUUGUCCUGGGAUUACCAUCUAUGCUGCGUGGUUUUGGUGGAAUAAUCUAAUGAUGAACUCAGCGGUUAUCCAAAGUUUGGAAACUAAAAUAAUUUGGGAUACGGGGGAUACGUAAGUCGCCCUUUGGACACGUGAAGAGCGGUCACUUUCAGCCAUGCUUGCUUUUAUCGGGAUAAAUAAAUUAAAAAUAAAUUAUAACUUUAAAUAACUGGCAAUAAAAAUAUUUUAUUAAAGUUCAAUCCUACCCAUUAAGUCUCCAAAUAUUAGGGCGGAUUGUACCUUUCAUAAGAAAGAAUAAUUGAUCUUUUUUUAUGAUACUUGGAUCAUUCCUCAUAUUUCAAAGCAUAACCAACUCUUUUAUUUUUCUAUCUGCACAGAUUUACGAGCUAAUAAUGGAUUCAUGCGAAAGAUACCAAGCCUAUCUAUAUAUGAUUUGAAACAUGCAUACUUCCAGAAGAGGUGACUCAUCAACCAUCGAGAUCCCAGGGAUUUAACCGUACAUAUUGCUCUAGUGUACAAAUGCGCAGAAACGUCCAACUCCAAAGAACUUUUGCAAUGUCCCAAAGUUGCUUAUGAUGUAAAGCUCUCCAAAAUUUAUCCGAUUCAAUAUUACCCUGCAGAAAGAUUAUCCAUAAUUAAAAUAAAACAUGUAAAUCAGAACAUCAAAUGUUCAUAUAAUCUUGAGUGUGGUCCACAUUCCAUGAAAAAUAAUCUUGAGAAUUUUAAAAAUUACCGAAAAAAUGUGAUUGCCAAUGCAAGAAAAUAGAGCUGCUAUGUCAUCCUCCACCAAAUACAUCACUGAUGCGAUUCUACUAUUGGGAAUUUUAUUACCAUGCUAGCAUACGGCAUGUAUUCAAAACAGAAAUUUAUUGGUCAAUUGCCUAGAAUCCUUGCUCUUUGCUUUUUUUGAAUGCAUCAGGUGGUGCAGACCCCCCAAAAAAAAACUAAAAACAAAAAAACUAUACUUCAAUACUGCCGGUUAGAAUAAAAGAUUGGAUUUCAUACAGCAAGAGUGAGUCAAAUAAGAAAUCACUAGUGACAAAGAGAUUAGCCAAUCUAUCGACUAGCUAAUUAACUUAUCUAAAUGUAUGACAGGCCAUGAAAAAAUCAGAGGAGAUAAGCAGACCUUCAUGUCAGAGAGGAGAGAGUGAUGUCAUUGAGAAAUAUAUUACAAAAAAUUAUAAUGGUGUCGAAGAUUAGAAAUCCAUUGGAUAACCAUAUCUGAAUCACCUUCAGGCCAUGUUAAUUUAAAACUAAACUAGUAAAUUGCUGAAAUAUGGUCACUCCAUGUAGCUUGUAAUUCGGCAAACAGGAUACGAACUAUUUGAAUUCUUCUUCAGGAUAUCUACAUUGAUUGGUUUUGAGUAUGUGAUUUUUGUGGCCGGUAGGGAUAUCAAUGUGAAUAUUUUAAAUUUUCAGUUGUAUUUUUGUAAUUAAAAAAAAUGAGGAUUCUACUACAAAUUAUAAGCUAGAUAUGAAGUAGACCUAUCAUAAGUUUAAAUUGGAAGCCACUUUGCAAAUUAUGGCUGAUUUGAAUUUUCCAACUAGGUGAUCAACUAGAUUUGCACUUGCAUCUCACAUGUUUUGUCGGUAGUUAUUGAUGAUCAGCAAACUAGAUAGAAUUAUGUUUACAAAAAGUAUCAAGCAGGGAGAUACUUUACCCCUUACCUGUUUUUUCUUUGUUCUCAAACCUUUACCAAUAUUCCCCACACUCAUGUGCAUGAUUGUUCUGUGAAAGCAUUGAUAUUGGUGAGUGCCAAAGAUUCUGCAAUUCUUUUUUUUUGUUUUAUUCUUAUACAGAUGAUACUAUUAUACGUCCUAGAGCUUCAAUUGCAGUUUACAUUGCUAUUUAAUCGUGCACCGAAAACCUAUCACAACAUUACCAACCAGGAGGUAAACCAAGGUAAAUCCAAUCUUGUGAUACCAAAUCAUUUUGAGGAGCAUCGAUGGACCGAGUCAACUUGAAGCAAGCCCAAAGUGUAAACAUGAAGCUCAAGUCCGAGUUGACUUGACCAAGUAUAAAUUUUUAGACCCCGACUUGUAGGUUCAUAUUAAUAUUUUGAGAAAUUCUUUGUGCGCUGUGGGUGGUGCAGAACUGCAUGCACCAUCUGUGAUGACUGAUUCCCAUGCAAGACUAACGAAAAAAAAAAAUUUCUGCACGUCACAUUCCGACUCCGUGAGGAAAUCAAUCACCGUGGACAGUACGCACGGUUCUAUAACGCCCAUGGUGCAUAAAAAAUUUCUCUAAUAUUUGUCCCUCUACCAUUCCAACCCAAGCCCACUCUGAAAAUGAUUUGGGCUUCUAUUUCCAGGGCCAUGGUCGGCCCACAUCCCUAAACCCAAAGCCUGGUCUUUCUGUGUUUGGCUCUUUGGGUCAUUGACAGUUUAUUAUUCUUUUUCUUUUUUUGAAUAAUGACAGUUUAUUAUUCUUGGUAGGCUAAUGAUAAUCAGUAUCGAAAUAGUUGGAAACUUACAGUUCGGAGUCACUCAAAUCUUUUUCAAGCAAGAUGUUCAUGCUUGUCUAAUUGAUGCUCAACUCGAUAUCCAACCACCAGAUAGUGACUGUAUGGGUACUGGAUUGUGUCCUAGACCAAAGUAACAUAGACAACUAGAACUUAUCUAGGAAAAGAAUGCACAGGAGAAGAGAAGAUCGAUAUCAUGUUGGCUACCUACUCUUCUGCCUAAAUCAACAGGUGGACCACUUGCUCCCCUUGGGGCCAAGCAUGCAAUGAUGGGGAGACAUCUCUUGUAGAUAUCCUUUGAGAGAGAUUCCACUCGAGUCAAAUUGGUGUGCCGUAAACUUGGCUAACUUGAGUGUGGAACCGUAGACUUGCAAAACUACAAGGAGAAGUUUGAAAAAUUGAUUGGUAAUGAGACACGACCAUUACUCUAGAAGUUGGGAGUUUUAAUACUUCUUAAGCAAAUUGCUCCUUUGCAGUUUUACCCUAUUUUUGUUUAUUCUAAUCUAUUUUUCGAAGACGUUUAUUGACAAGCAAAUAUAGAAUAGUCUAUGGAAUACUAAAAGAUUUAAUGUGAAAAAUAAUAUUUAUUCUAAAAUAUUUGUCUAUUUUAUAUAUAGUGAAAGGUUCAUUUUUGUAUAUUUAAUUCUAAAAGAUUUAGAUCUUUGAGUACUUCUCUUCCUAUAGGAUCAGGUAGAUCCUGUCUAAGAAUAUUUUUAUAUACUUAUGGAUAUAGGUUUAGUUCAGUCUAUAACCUUAUUAUCUAACUUGUUGUACUAGCUUUAUCUAUAAAUCAAAGAGAAUUUCCAAUCUAUUUACCUAAACAGGCCUUUAACGCUUUAACCGGGUUCUUUUAUGUUUCUGGAUCAAAGAAAAUGGUGGAGCUACAAAUAAGGAAAGAGACUCCCCUAGCAUACAGCAGAAGUAUAACAGAACAUAUGAAUUACUGACCGGGCUACGAAUAUCAGGAGAAUUUUGCAAGAAAAUCAUGAUGGCUAGGGCAUUACCGGCCUCUGUUGCUGGACAUUUUAUCUACCUAAUUUAUUAUCUACUCGCAUAUCCAUAUUUAUGUGGUGCUCAUGGAAUGGUCAAGUUCACUGAUGUCCCAAUUGACAUCCCCACUUAUCCUAUCUUGUAUAAUAAUAUAAUAAUAUUAAAUUGUGACAAAAAUUUAUAAAACUCAAAAAAAUUAAUACUGUUGCAGAUUGGAUGGUGAAAUACAUAGCUAACCUUAUUAAAUCGAUUCUUCUACAUAUUUAUUGUAGUAAUUUUUUUUUUAAAUUUUUUUUGAUGGAUGUAUUUAUACUCUUUUUAAGUAAUCAAUUCAUUCGUUCCAUAUUAAAAAAAUAGAGAGAAUUGAUAAACUCAACUAGCAAUAAAGCAGGUAGGGUUAGUCGGACAGUGAUACUCCUGCACUAAACAAUCAGGCUUGUUGGAAGUGAUUGAUGAUCGUAACUAUCUAUUUGAAAUCAAAUCAAUUCAAUAAAUUUGAUCCUAAGUAUAUCUCUUGGCGGAGCUGCAAUGACUUUCCAAAGUGAUUUGUAAUAACCCGCCCAGAAGAAUAAAAAAAAAAAACAAGAAGUCAUGCAUUAUGCAUGUUAGUUAGGGGGGGGGGUUGGGAAAUAGGACUCUGGUUAGGAGUCUUCUCUCUUAAUUUUUAUUAAAAAAAAGAAUCUAACUAAAAUUCAAAGUAAAAUGAUCCUAAUUCAGUCCAGGGAUCCUAUGUUUCUCUUUAUUUUCUAUCACAAAUUUCUCACAAAAUCACUAUCGAUUUGGGUCUGUCAAUCGAGUUCUUUUUCUUGAGAUUUCACCAGAAAAAUCGUCGGAUCUCUCAUUGAGGGCAUCACUAAGGUUCUCUCCCUUCUCCUCCUUUUUCUAGCCUUGCUAUCAUCGGAUUUGGUCCGAUGAGUCCUCAGAUUUCUAAGAAAAUCAAGAUUCUCCUAUGUUUCUUCCUUUAUCCCUCUAUAGCACCGGCCACCAUGGCUGGUCGUGCUUGGACUAUUGGGGGCCAAUGCUGCCACCACCAUCACCAAAGGGGAUCUAUUGGUCGGGGUCGCCAUCGUGGUGUGGCCGGCUCUAUAAUUGUCCCCUUCUCCUGCUUCAACGAAGAAGAAGAGAAAGAAAACGAGAAGAAAGAAAGAAAAGAAAAGAAACAAAAAAGAAAAAGAGAAAGAAAGAAGGAAAAAAAAGUUUCUCUCUCUUUUCUCUCUCCUCUCUCUAUUUUCUCUCCACUUUCUCUCUCUACUACUUUCUCUCCUUAUUUUCUCUCUCUAAUUUCUCUUUCUUAAAUUUUCUCUCUAAAAUUUUAUGGACCAAUGGAGGGUUUAGAUAUUUAGACAAAUCCAGAUCUCAGUUAAUCCUAGAAGAGAUCCUGAACUUGUGAUGUUUAGGGAUAUUUUUAUAAUUUUUAUGUCCUUAAUUGUAUAUGAUUUUUAGGUUUAUCCAUGAUUAUAUAAAGGUACAACUGAUUAUACAAAAAAAUAUUGAAUAGAAUAUCUUGAUUUCGAGUUCGUAGAUCGAGGAGUUCAUCGAUUAUUAUAUUUAAGUCAAUCAUCGAUGGAGAUAAGAAAAUUGAACACAAACAUCAGUACAUAUAUAUUUAUUUUUGCACUGCAUGAUUUGGUUUCUCAUGGCUAAUAUUUAUUUAUGAUUAUUGGUAUGAUUAUUGAUAUGUUUUGUGUCGUAUAUUUAUACAAAAUAACAAUGGUUUUUGAAUGGUUUGAGUUAUAAUACCAACUAUUAAGAAUUUUGAAAGGAACAUAAUAAGAAACUGCAUUUUAUUUUAUGAUAUGAUUGAGAUUUCAUAAUUUGAUGAUCAAGAAAUGGGUGUUAGGACUAGCCACAUUAAAUUGAGAAUAGCUUAGUUACGGACAGGAAUAUAACACCAAGAAUAGUUUGCCAUGAUAAGAUAUAUGAUACUGAGAACAGCUUGUCAUGGGCAGAUAUAUAUACAUGGUAUCGAGAAUAGCCCCAUCACGAGUGGAUACGUGGUGUUUGAGUUUGUCACUACGGACUGAAGCACGGAUAUUCUAGUUUGCCAUCAUGGGUUAAAGUAUGAUUAUUCUGGUUUGUCACUGCAAGCUGAAGUGCGGUUAUUCUGGUUCGUCACCACAGACUGAAGUGUGGUUUAUCGCUUGCCAGUCAUAGACUGCAGCAUGAUCGUGGUUAGUCCGAAACACUAAAGAUAAUUGUUGAUUAAUGUGGAUCAUGUUAAUGAGAUGUGGAUGAUAAGAUAUAAAAUCAUAAUUAAGUAAAAAUGAGUUUUACUUAACGAGGCAAGUGUGGUAUAUCAAUUUUAGAAAAGAUGGAUAUUAAAUUUAAUCUCGAAUUUGUCAGUUGAGCUUAUGAAGUUCCAAUUGAAUUACGGUUUAUUUGAAACUCUAUUAGAUUUAUGAGAAUCAUACUAGUACAUGGUUAAACCUAGUUUUUCUCAAAACUUUGAUUUGAUCAAGUCCAUAGUCUUGAACCUAACCUAAAUUCAUUUGGAUUUAAUUGGACUCUUAAUUAUAAGUCCAAGAGGAUUUAAUUAAGUCAAUUAGUUGACAUAAUUAUCCUAACAUUAUCUCUUCCAUAUCUCCUAAUUAUCUCUAAGUAUGCAUGUGGAAUAUAUAGACGAAAGAAUGGAUGGCAUAAUUUUUUUUUUUAAAUUAUUAAGCCCCAUAUCCUAAAGGGCCCACCCCCUCUUAUAUGUCAUGGCAUGAAGGAGAGAGGGUGGGGUCCAUGCCCCAUCUCUUAUGGCUGGAGAUCUCUUUAUAGGGCAUCAAGAGUUGGCGUCCCAACCACCUGAUAUGUAUUUCAUGGAUGGCUAUUGUACAUGCUUAAAAGGACUGAUUAAUUAUCUUUUAUAUCUGAUUUUAUUUGGCAUAAAUCAUAUUUAAAAGGUAGAGAAUUCUUAUGAGAUAAAGAUCUAUUUUUUUAAGAUGAUAAGGUUCCUAAUAUGUGUCAGGGCUUAUGUCUAUUUAAAGGGAGGUCUCUAUGAUUUCUUGGUAUUGAUUUUUCAUCAAGAAAAUCUUUUCUCUCUCCAUCUCCAUGCCUCCUCUCUCUCAUAUUCUUCCUUUCCAUGCCCAAAAGUUGGGUAUUCUCUCUUCCACACACUUAGAAGGAGUUCUGGUAACUUAGNNNNNNNNNNNNNNNNNNNNCAGAGUUCUCAAAGGGUUCAAAGGUUCUUCUUUGAGAAGAAGAAUCUUCUACGAGAAGAAAAGUUCGAGAUUGAUCUUGGUGGAUACCUGUAGAGGCCGGAUACGUAUGUGGCUUCAUCUUCUACAAAUCCAAGAUCAUCUGAAGCAGUGAAUUUCUACCCGUGCAAAGAUAAUGAGAUAUGAUCUCAUAUUUUUCUUAAAUUUUAGAUUAAUUAUGUAAUAACCCAGAUAUAUACAAAAAAAAAGAGAAAACAGAGGAUAUCGGGAGGAAGAAGACUCCCGUUGAGAGUCUUCUUCCCACCGUAAAAAGGAGAGGGGAAUCCGAGUAAAAAACGGAUUCCUCUUCUAUAAAACCCCCUUUCCCCUCCCUUUAGAUUUUUAUCACGGGAUUUUGAGAGAUUAUUAAGAGUUUAGAGGAAUUUUUUCAAGAUUUUUGCUGCGAGUUGUUUGAACAGAAAGAAAAGAUCGCCGGAGCUCUUCUCAACCGUCGGAGCAAGGUAAGCCCCUCCCCUUCUUCCUCUCCCUCUUUUCUUUCUCCCUUGGCCUAAAGCCUCACCGCCGGUCACCGUCUUUGCCGAAAAUCAGUCACAAAAGAAUCCCCUAUUUUCUGAAUCUUCCUUUGAUUUUUGCCGGCCGAACCUUGCCGCCGGCCGAACAUUGCCCAUCGCCGCCUCCACCUGUUGCCGGAUCUCCGGCCAAGCCGUCGGAGCUCGAGCCACCGAGGGGGGGGACCUCACGAUCCUCCCCUGUUUCAUCCAAGGGAGGCCGCGGGNNNNNNNNNNNNNNNNNNNNACGAUUGUCUGCAAAUGAUAUCGAGUGGAAUAUUUUAUUAAAAAAAUUUAUAAAUCAAAGAAGAACAUUGAUUUCUGUGCUUGGAUCAGUCAUCGGUAAAGAUAAGAAUCCCUGUACAUGAUCAUCAUUAUAUAUGUUAUUUUACCGUUGGUUUUCUCUUAUUGAUUUUGCAUCAUUGGAUUUGAGAUCGAUGAAUUUAUUAUAUCUGAGAUAUUGUUAUUUAUUUAUGUGAUUUUGAGCAUGAGUAUGCUAUAUCAAUACAAAUGUAUCAGCGAUUGAUGGCAUGAUUAUGUGUAUGACAUAUUUAUUACACUGCAAAAGAUGAAUUGAUUAAUGAAGUCAAAUAUUUUAAUUUCAUGAAAGUGAAAAGAAAGAGAAAUAUGGUUUGGACUGGCCUUGUCAUGUGGAAUAACUUGCCAGGAGCUUAUGCCUGGGACAGCCCCCACAGACUUAUAUGUGGAAGAAUAUGAUUCGAGAAAGAUCAUGAAGAAUCUGAUCCGAGAAAGAUCAUGAAUGAUUUGAUCCGAGAAAGAUCAUGGCCACUUUGAUCUGAGAAAGAUCAUGAAUAUUUCGAUCCAAAGAAGAUCACAAAAAUNNNNNNNNNNNNNNNNNNNNACGUAUCCGAUCCGGGUGUUGGAUUUUGAGCGUGACAAAUUAUAUGUGCUUUCUUCUGGAUUUGGAUAGGUUUAGAUCUGGUAUCUUGCAUGUGGGGUUAAAGGGUUUAAUCCGAUUUAUUUUUCGCUAUAUGUUUUCAAAAUUUUAAAAUCUACACAUGCUGCCUACCCUGUUUUCUAUCAGUGUGGUAUAUCAAUUUUAGAAAAGAUGGAUAUUCAAUAGUGUAUGAUGUAUGAUUCUAUAUAUAUCGAUAUUGAAUUGUACUGGAUACUUGACAUGAGAUUUCGUGACUUAUAUUUUCUUUUGAUGCUGUUCAUAUAUUAUUUUCAGUCAUACUAUUGAAUUAAUGCAGGUAUGCUGGGAUCUUUACUGGGCUGUAAAGCUCACCCCUCCUUUUUUCUUCCUUCUCAGAGUUGUAGGAUACUUAUGAUUGAUUUUGAUUUGAGUUCGCGGGUGAGCAGAUGAAUAAAUAAAGCAUCAUUGACACCGAACAGAUGAUCAAAGAAAAUAAAUUUGUAAUUAUACAAGUGUUAUUAAUUGUUAUGAAAAUUAGAUUGUUAUUAUUUAUGGAUAUUAAGGUGUUAUAAUAAAUUAUAAGAUCUUACAUAUUUUUUAAGAUUUUGUCUUAAAAAAAAUACGACCAUCACGUAUCUGAUUCAGAUACUGAAUUCAGCAUAUAACAGAAUGAUAUCAGAGCUUAGGUUUAAAAUCAACAGGGACCGUGACAUAAGUAAUAUCAAAAUAUUAAAUUAUGAUCAUUAGAGUAUGAUAGAAUAAUAUUAAAAUUUAAGAUUAUGAUCUUUGAAGAUUGUAUCUUAAGAGAUAUUGAGAUUAAAGUUAUGAUUAUUAAAAAAUAUGUGAUCAUCAUAUAUCCAAUCUAGAUAUUAUAUUCGGAGCGUUAUUAAAAAAUGGACAUAAUUGCUUCGCGGAGCGGACCAAGCCGGCGGGGGGGGGGAGCGGAGUUUUCACCAUAGGCGGAACGUUUGUUUUGGUAAAAAGCAAAGAGAUUUCACCAAACUGGCAAAAGAAAAGAGAUUUCACUGUUAGAAGGUUUUUACUUCACUAAGUCAAAUCCUUAUUUACUAAAAAAAGUUUCUCGCGGUUAUUAAAAGCCUCGAAACCUGGCCAACGCUCCUCCCGCCACCCUCUCUCUCUCUUUGAGGCGGAGAACAAAGAACGAGAAGACGCCAUGGACCGGAUGAAGCCCAACGCCGCCAACAGCUGCCCGCUGACUCCUCUGUGCUUCCUCGAGCGUACCGCCACCGUCUACGGUAAUUGCCCCUCCGUCAUCUAUCGCCGCACCGUCUUCACCUGGUCUCAGACCCUCCGACGCUGCCUCCGCCUCGCCUCUUCCCUCUCCUCCCUCGGCAUCUCCCGCGGCGACGUCGUAUGGCCUCCAUCCGAUCCCAUUCCCAUCCAGAGGCGAAAACUUUAUUUUCUCUCCAUUGAUCAUAAUCUCUGCUCAAAUUAAAAUUCGAUCUUACUGCUAAAAGUUUGAUCUUUUUCCAGGUCUCCGUGCUGGCCCCGAACGUGCCGGCCAUGUACGAGAUGCACUUCGGCGUCCCGAUGAGCGGCGCCGUCCUCAACACCAUCAACCUCCGCCUCGACGCCCGCACCAUCUCCGUCCUCCUCCGCCACAGCGGCUCCAAGCUCAUCUUCGUCGAUCCCCAGUCCCUUCCCCUGCUCUACGACGCCCUCUGC
rnacentral:lncRNA from 1 species